rnacentral:rRNA from 1 species
UUCGGAUUGUAGUCUACAACUCGACUGCAUGAAGCUGGAAUCGCUAGUAAUCGCGAAUCAGAAUGUCGCGGUGAAUACGUUCCCGGGUCUUGUACACACCGCCCGUCACACCAUGGGAGCCGACAACGCCCGAAGUCAGUGACCUAACCGAGAGGGAGGAGCUGCCGAAGGCGGGGUUGGUAACUGGGGUGAAGUCGUAACAAGGUAUC